rnacentral:siRNA from 1 species
ACUGUGUUAAAUAGACUUGCGAG